CGAUUUGAACAAGAUCUAAACAACGAUCAAGCCCGAUGGGAAAAAGAAAUUCAAGAACAAAAGGCAAAGAAAUUUCAGCGUGAUAUUGCAGACUACCAAAAUGAAAGAAUAUUUCGGUGGCAUUAUAAACGCAAUACCGAUCGCUCUGCCUCAAGCUCGGUGACAUCUAUACGGAGCAAUCACUCACAACGUGCUGAGGGUUCAACAGUAGUGGGACAGACGAUGAUGACAUCAAAAACUCCAAUCAAACGAAAAUACAACAAUCUGGAUGACUCCAAAAAUGGGGAACUAAAGCCCCGGAGGAAUUGGAGGCGCUUCGAACACUAGAGGAACUACUGAUGGAGCAGGAAGGAGGGAUCCAGGACGGCACUUGAUUUAUUUUUGGUACAACUUAACGCGAAUGAUUGGAAUAUAAGACUGACCCAAACCAUCUCCCAAAGUCAAAUGACAUUUUUGGAUAUCAACAUCAAGACGACCACGGAUGGCACUCUAUCGACGGCAAUUCAUCGCAAGGAUACUGCUGUAAACGCUUUGUUACACGCAUCGUCCUUUCAUCCACAACAUCAAAAACGAUCUAUACCGAUUGGUCAGUUUCUAAGAGCCAAAAGAUUAUGCACUACAACAGAGGACUUUGAAAAGGAAUCAACUCAGCUUCGACAACGUUUUGUACAAAGAGGAUACCACCCUGUGGUUAUUGAACGGGGGUACCAGCGAGCUGUCA